rnacentral:rRNA from 1 species
GGUGGCGAGUGGCGAACGGGUGAGUAAUACAUCGGAACGUACCCAGAAGUGGGGGAUAACGUAGCGAAAGUUACGCUAAUACCGCAUACGUUCUACGGAAGAAAGUGGGGGAUCGCAAGACCUCAUGCUUUUGGAGCGGCCGAUGUCUGAUUAGCUAGUUGGUGAGGUAAAGGCUCACCAAGGCGACGAUCAGUAGCUGGUCUGAGAGGACGACCAGCCACACUGGAACUGAGACACGGUCCAGACUCCUACGGGAGGCAGCAGUGGGGAAUUUUGGACAAUGGGCGCAAGCCUGAUCCAGCAAUGCCGCGUGAGUGAAGAAGGCCUUCGGGUUGUAAAGCUCUUUUGUCAGGGAAGAAACGGCAGGGGCUAAUAUCCUUUGCUAAUGGCGGU